CUCAGAACGAACGCUGGCGGCAGGCUUAACACAUGCAAGUCGAGCGCACUCUUCGGAGUGAGCGGCGGACGGGUUAGUAACGCGUGGGAACGUGCCCUUCUCUAAGGAAUAGCCACUGGAAACGGUGAGUAAUACCUUAUACGCCCUUCGGGGGAAAGAUUUAUCGGAGAAGGAUCGGCCCGCGUUAGAUUAGAUAGUUGGUGGGGUAAUGGCCUACCAAGUCUACGAUCUAUAGCUGGUUUUAGAGGAUGAUCAGCAACACUGGGACUGAGACACGGCCCAGACUCCUACGGGAGGCAGCAGUGGGGAAUCUUGGACAAUGGGCGCAAGCCUGAUCCAGCCAUGCCGCGUGAGUGAUGAAGGCCUUAGGGUCGUAAAGCUCUUUCGCCAGAGAUGAUAAUGACAGUAUCUGGUAAAGAAACCCCGGCUAACUCCGUGCCAGCAGCCGCGGUAAUACGGAGGGGGUUAGCGUUGUUCGGAAUUACUGGGCGUAAAGCGCACGUAGGCGGAUCAGAAAGUAUAGGGUGAAAUCCCAGGGCUCAACCCUGGAACUGCCUUGUAAACUCCUGGUCUUGAGUUCGAGAGAGGUGAGUGGAAUUCCGAGUGUAGAGGUGAAAUUCGUAGAUAUUCGGAGGAACACCAGUGGCGAAGGCGGCUCACUGGCUCGAUACUGACGCUGAGGUGCGAAAGUGUGGGGAGCAAACAGGAUUAGAUACCCUGGUAGUCCACACCGUAAACGAUGAAUGCCAGACGUCAGCAAGCAUGCUUGUUGGUGUCACACCUAACGGAUUAAGCAUCCG
rnacentral:rRNA from 1 species